rnacentral:rRNA from 1 species
GCCAGCAGCUAUAUCACCCUGCAGCUCUCAACUGGCUACCCACUGAAGCUAAGCAGGGUUGAGCCUGGACAGUUCCUGGAUGGGAGACCUCCUGGGUAGCUAUGGUUGCUGCUGGAA